CUACACAUGCAGUCGAGCGAGAGAAUUCCUUCGGGAAUGGAUCUAGCGGCGGACGGGUGAGUAACACGUGGGCAACCUGCCUCAAAGAGGGGGAUAGCCUCCCGAAAGGGAGAUUAAUACCGCAUAAAGUUAUUUUAUCGCAUGGUAAAAUAACCAAAGGAGAAAUCCACUUUGAGAUGGGCCCGCGGCGCAUUAGCUAGUUGGUAAGGUAACGGCUUACCAAGGCAGCGAUGCGUAGCCGACCUGAGAGGGUAAUCGGCCACAUUGGAACUGAGAGACGGUCCAGACUCCUACGGGAGGCAGCAGUGGGGAAUAUUGCACAAUGGGCGAAAGCCUGAUGCAGCAACGCCGCGUGGGUGAUGAAGGUUUUCGGAUUGUAAAGCCCUGUCUUUUGGGACGAUAAUGACGGUACCAAAGGAGGAAGCCACGGCUAACUACGUGCCAGCAGCCGCGGUAAUACGUAGGUGGCGAGCGUUGUCCGGAUUUACUGGGCGUAAAGGGUGCGUAGGCGGAUAUUUAAGUGGGAUGUGAAAACCCCGGGCUCAACCUGGGGACUGCAUUUCAAACUGGAUAUCUAGAGUGCAGGAGAGGAAAGCGGAAUUCCUAGUGUAGCGGUGGAAUGCGUAGAGAUUAGGAAGAACACCAGUGGCGAAGGCGGCUUUCUGGACUGUAACUGACGCUGAGGCACGAAAGCGUGGGUAGCAAACAGGAUUAGAUACCCUGGUAGUCCACGCCGUAAA
rnacentral:rRNA from 1 species